rnacentral:rRNA from 2 species
GCGGAAGAGAUAAGUGCUGAAAGCAUCUAAGCACGAAACUUGCCCCGAGAUGAGUUCUCCCUGACCCUUUAAGGGUCCUGAAGGAACGUUGAAGACGACGACGUUGAUAGGCCGGGUGUGUAAGCGCAGCGAUGCGUUGAGCUAACCGGUACUAAUGAACCGUGAGGCUUAACCUUAC